rnacentral:rRNA from 1 species
ACGUGAUCUGAGUUCAGACCGGAGUAAUCCAGGUCAGUUUCUAUCUAUAAAGGGCUUUUUCUAGUACGAAAGGACCGAAAAAGCAUGGCCAAUAAAUAAUUAAGCCAUAAUUAUAAACUAUUGAUAACAACUAAAUUAGCAAAAACCUAAUAUUUUCCUCAAGAUAAGAGA